rnacentral:rRNA from 1 species
UACAGAGGUCCCAAGCGUUGUUCGGAUUCACUGGGCGUAAAGGGUGCGUAGGCGGUCGGGUAAGUCUGAUGUGAAAUCUCACAGCUUAACUGUGAAACUGCAUUGGAUACUAGUCGGCUUGAGAGUUGGAGGGGGGACUGGAAUUCCACGUGUAGCAGUGAAAUGCGUAGAGAUGUGGAGGAAUACCGAUGGCGAAGGCAGCCCCCUGGGAUAACACUGACGCUCAUGCACGAAAGCGUGGGGAGCAAACAGG